AGCUCAGCAAAAGCCAAGCAGCUUUCUAAUAUGAAGCAUUUUUACAGGAUGAAUGAAUAGUUCAUAUUGUUAUGGCAAGGCCAAUUUUAUAAAACCUGGAAAAUUAAGAGACCCAGGAUUUUCACACUGCAGUCAUUAGAAUGUGGUAACUUGGAACUUACGGGUCAGAGGAAACCCAAUCCACAUUGGAACAAGGCUUCUUAAGACAUGGAUGUAAUUUGGUGGUAAGAUGGAUUCAGUGUUAUUCCCCUGACCUUUCUCACUUUCACCUCCUCCCUUGUGCACUUAUUUCAUCAUAGAGGUGGAAAUGUUAAACAAUAUAGUUGAUUAUGUGUUAGAGAUCUCAAAGAAACCUACACUGGGUACUCCAUUAAAAUCUAAA
rnacentral:lncRNA from 10 species